GAUGAAGAACGCCAGCGAAAUGCGAUAAGUAAUGUGAAUUGCAGAAUUCAGUGAAUCAUCGAAUCUUUGAACGCAUCUUGCGCUCCUUGGUAUUCUGAGGAGCAUGCCUGUUUGAGUGUCAUUAAAUUCUCAACUACACUGACUUUGAAUUGGUGUGGCUUGGAUUUGGGGGGAAAAUUGUUGUGGGCUUUUUGUAUAGUCUGCUCCCCUGAAAUUGAUUAGCGGUACCUUUGUGGAACUGUCUACAGGUGUGAUAAUUAUCUACAUCUUAGACAUCUGCUGGAAUGCUGCUUUCUAAACCUUACUUGUAUUGACAAUCUUGACCUCAAAUCAGGUAGGACUACCCGCUGAACUUAAGCAUAUCAAUAAGCGGAGGA
rnacentral:misc_RNA from 1 species